UACGUAGGGACCAAGCGUUGUCCGGAAUCAUUGGGCGUAAAGAGCGUGUAGGCGGCCUGUUAAGUCUUGCGUGAAAUCUCGGGGCUCAACCCCGAGCGGUCGUGAGAAACUGGCAGGCUAGAGUGCGGGAGAGGAGAGUGGAAUUCCUGGUGUAGCGGUGAAAUGCGCAGAUAUCAGGAAGAACACCCGUGGCGAAGCGCUCUCUGGAACGCAACUGACGCUGAGACGCGAAAGCGUGGGGAGCAAACAGG
rnacentral:rRNA from 1 species